UUGUGUGUUCAAGUUUUUAAGGGCAUACGGUGGAUGCCUUGGCAUCAGGAGCCGAUGAAGGACGUGGGAGCCUGCGAUAUGCCUCGGGGAGUCGGCAACCAGAC
rnacentral:rRNA from 1 species